ACCUCAGAAGGAGCUGAGCGAGAUGAUUGCAACUCCUCGUUGGCCCAUUUCACUGUAACCUAGGAAACUUAAAUUCCCGCUGACUUUUAACUGCAAUCCAAGAUGGUGGACAGCAGGAGAGCACAAAAAUGAGAAGGAACUCCACUCCAACCUAGACCUAACCAAUGGCUGGGCAGAGACCCAAAGGCACUUGGAUCAACAAGUCGAGAAAAAGCCUGGGGGCAGAAUGAGUUUCAUCGAAAUUAGCCAACAACAGUAAUCUGCCUGAAUGAAGACAUGGGCAGUGACUCUCCAACCAGUAGGAGCACUAGUUAGGUGUUUAUAUAACUGCCCCUUAAAUCUUCUUUGGUUCCCUGCCUGAAUGGGGCAGGUCCGACUCUCAGCGCCAUGACUUCCAACACGGCUAAGGCAAGGAGGCAGCUCUUGAAUCCACCCGAGCCAGAAUAGACAUUGCCGUUGGUAUCAGUCUGAUCCACACCACCAGUCCAGCCAACUGAGCCAGCCCUCCCAUGGAGUCCGAGUUGCCGUGGCAUUGGACAAUUUUACAUGCACGGUGUAGUCUGGAGCUAUGGAUAGCGGUGGCAGAAGUUCCAAUUUU